AUAUGCUGGUGCCCUAGGCGCAAAGGAAACACUCCAAUCCAUCCCGAACUUGGCUGUGAAACUUUGUUGCGGUGACAAUACUGAAAGGGUAGCUUUUUGGCAAGAUAAUUCAGCGCCAGCUUAU
rnacentral:rRNA from 1 species